rnacentral:rRNA from 1 species
GACGAACGCUGGCGGCGUGCCUAAUACAUGCAAGUUGAGCGAUGAAGAUUGGUGCUUGCACCAAUUUGAAGAGCAGCGAACGGGUGAGUAACGCGUGGGGAAUCUGCCUUUGAGCGGGGGACAACAUUUGGAAACGAAUGCUAAUACCGCAUAACAACUUUAAACAUAAGUUUUAAGUUUGAAAGAUGCAAUUGCAUCACUCAAAGAUGAUCCCGCGUUGUAUUAGCUAGUUGGUGAGGUAAAGGCUCACCAAGGCGAUGAUACAUAGCCGACCUGAGAGGGUAAUCGGCCACAUUGGGACUGAGACACGGCCCAAACUCCUACGGGAGGCAGCAGUAGGGAAUCUUCGGCAAUGGACGAAAGUCUGACCGAGCAACGCCGCGGGAGUGAAGAAGGUUUUCGGAUCGUAAAACUCUGUUGGUAGAGAAGAACGUUGGUGAGAGUGGAAAGCUCAUCAAGUGACGGUAACUACCCAGAAAGGGACGGCUAACUACGUG